rnacentral:rRNA from 1 species
AGAAGAGGAAAGUCGUAACAUGGUAAGCCUACCGGAAGGUGGUCUUGGAAUCAGAAUAUAGCUUAACCAAAGCAUUUUGCUUACACCAAAAAAAUAUCCUUUAGAUUAUUCUGAUACUGUAAAUUUAGCCUCCAUGUCUUUCUAUUACCCCACCCAAUAAAUCAUUUUUAUAUGUUAGUAUGAGUGACAGAAAACUUAUUAGCGCAAUAAAUAAAGUACUGCAAAGGAAAAAUGAAAUAGAAAUUAAAUAAUCACAAAAGUUUAAUAAAGCAAAGAUUAAUACUUGUACCUUUUGCAUAAUAAUCUAGCAAGUUUAAUUUAACAAAAAUAUUUAUGUUAAAAUCCCCGAAACCAAACGAGCUACCUUUGAGCAACACACUAUAAAUUUCUCUCUGUGGCAAAAGAGAGUGAGAGACUCCCAGGUAGAGGCGAAAAACCAAACGAGUCUGGAGAUAGCUGGUUGCUUGGGAAUGAAUUAAGUUCAACUAAAAGUGAAUAUACCAACAAGGACACAUAUAUACUUUUAAUAUAAUAAAUUAGGGUACAGCCUAUUUUAUAAAGGAAACAGCCUACACACAUGAAUAAAGAUUAUAAUUUAUCCUAUAAUAAAGUAGGCCUAAAAGCAGCCACCAAAAAAGCGUCACAGCUUAAUUAUAUACUUAAAACAUUUAAAUACAUUAUCUAAACUCAACUUAAUAACCAAGUUAAUCUAUUUAUAGAUAAACUACUACUAGAAUGAGUAAUAAGGAAUACCUCAAAAUACACAUGUAAAUCUAAACUAACCCCACUGAUAAUUAACGUAAACAUUCAUUUUUACAAGAAAACCAAAUUAUUUAUUUCGUUAACCCAACACAGGUGUAUAAAAGAAAGACUCAAGGCUUAAGAAGGAACUCGGCAAACUCAGGCUUCGCCUGUUUACCAAAAACAUCGCCUUUCGAUAAAUUAACAUGAAAGGUCCUGCCUGCCCAGUGACAUACUUAAACGGCCGCGGUAUUAUGACCGUGCAAAGGUAGCAUAAUCACUUGUCUUUUAAAUAAAGACCAGUAUGAAUGGCAAGACGAAACCCAACUGUCUCCUUAAGCUAGUCAAUGAAAUUGAUUUUCCCGUGCAGAAGCGGGAAUAUAUAUAUAAGACGAGAAGACCCUGUGGAGCUUAAAAUAAAACUAUAUAGAUAUUCUAUAAUAGUAUUAAAUUUUGGUUGGGGCGACCAUGAGGUAAAACACAACCCUCAAGACAACAACUAGAAGGACACUUCAAAUAAAACUAUACAUUGACCCAAUAAUGAUCAACGAACCAAGUUACCCCAGGGAUAACAGCGCAAUCCAUUCCCAGAGUCCAUAUCGACGAAUGGGUUUACGACCUCGAUGUUGGAUCAGGACCCCCUAAUGGUGCAACAACUAUUAAAGGUUCGUUGUCAACGAUAAA